rnacentral:rRNA from 1 species
UGGGGAAUCUUGCACAAUGGGGGAAACCCUGAUGCAGCGACGCCGCGUGAGUGAUGAAGCCCUUCGGGGUGUAAAGCUCUUUCGGCAGGGACGAUAAUGACGGUACCUGCAGAAGAAGCUGCGGCUAACUACGUGCCAGCAGCCGCGGUAAUACGUAGGCAGCAAGCGUUGUUCGGAAUUACUGGGCGUAAAGAGUGCGUAGGCGGUUUGGCAAGUUUGGUGUGAAAUCUCCCGGCUUAACUGGGAGGGUGCGCCGAAAACUGUCGAGCUAGAGUGUGGGAGAGGAAAGUGGAAUUCCUGGUGUAGCGGUGAAAUGCGUAGAUAUCAGGAGGAACACCUGCGGUGUAGACGGCUUUCUGGACCACUACUGACGCUGAGGCACGAAAGCGUGGGGAGCAAACA